rnacentral:rRNA from 1 species
GUGCCAGCAGCCGCGGUAAUACGUGGGUGGCAAGCGUUAUCCGGAAUUAUUGGGCGUAAAGCGCGCGUAGGCGGUUUUUUAAGUCUGAUGUGAAAGCCCACGGCUCAACCGUGGAGGGUCAUUGGAAACUGGAAAACUUGAGUGCAGAAGAGGAAAGUGGAAUUCCAUGUGUAGCGGUGAAAUGCGCAGAGAUAUGGAGGAACACCAGUGGCGAAGGCGACUUUCUGGUCUGUAACUGACGCUGAUGUGCGAAAGCGUGGGGAUCAAACAGGA